UACGAAGGGGGCUAGCGUUGUUCGGAAUUACUGGGCGUAAAGGGCGCGUAGGCGGCGUGUCAAGUCAGGCGUGAAAGCCCCGGGCUCAACCUGGGAACCGCGCUUGAGACUGGCAUGCUCGAGUUCGGGAGAGGAUGGUGGAAUUCCCAGUGUAGAGGUGAAAUUCGUAGAUAUUGGGAAGAACACCGAUGGCGAAGGCAGCCAUCUGGACCGACACUGGCGCUGAGGCGCGAAAGCGUGGGGAGCAAACAGG
rnacentral:rRNA from 1 species